rnacentral:rRNA from 1 species
UGGGGAAUAUUGCACAAUGGGCGCAAGCCUGAUGCAGCCAUGCCGCGUGUAUGAAGAAGGCCUUCGGGUUGUAAAGUACUUUCAGCGGGGAGGAAGGGAGUAAAGUUAAUACCUUUGCUCAUUGACGUUACCCGCAGAAGAAGCACCGGCUAACUCCGUGCCAGCAGCCGCGGUAAUACGGAGGGUGCAAGCGUUAAUCGGAAUUACUGGGCGUAAAGCGCACGCAGGCGGUUUGUUAAGUCAGAUGUGAAAUCCCCGGGCUCAACCUGGGAACGGCAUUUGAUACUGGCAAGCUUGAUUCCCGUGGAGGGGGGUAGAAUUCCAGGUGUGGGGGUAAAAUGCUUGGAGACCUGGAGGAAUACCGGUGGCGAAGGCGGCCCCCAGAACGAGGCUUGCCCCUCGGGUGCGAAGGGGUGGGAGCAAACAGG